UUGGAGGGCAAGUCUGGUGCCAGCAGCCGCGGUAAUUCCAGCUCCAAUAGCGUAUAUUAAAGUUAUUGCCGUUAAAAAGCUCGUAGUUGAACUUUCAUGGGCUCACGCGGUCUGCCUCACGGCAAGUACUGUGUGGGUCCGUGCUCCUGGGUGGUGAGCCGUCAUGUCGUUUACUCGGUGUGGCGGGGAACCACCUCUGUUACCUUGAGAAAAUUAGAGUGUUCAAAGCAGGCCUAUGCCCGAAUACAUUAGCAUGGAAUAACGAAA
rnacentral:rRNA from 1 species